CUGGGAUGCAGCAGUAGGGAAUCUUCCUCAAUGGACGAAAGUCUGACGGAGCAACGCCGCGUGAGCGAAGAAGGUCUUCGGAUUGUAAAGCUCUGUUGUUAGGGAAGAACAAGUACCGUUCGAAGAGGGCGGUACCGUGACGGUACCUAACGAGAAAGCCACGGCUAACUACGUGCCAGCAGCCGCGGUAAUACGUAGGUGGCAAGCGUUGUCCGGAAUUAUUGGGCGUAAAGCGCGCGCAGGCGGUCCUUUAAGUCUGAUGUGAAAGCCCACGGCUCAACCNUGGAGGGUCAUUGGAAACUGGGNGACUUGAGUGCAGANGAGGAGGGCGGGUAUUACUAGUGUAGCGGUGAAAUGGGUAGAGAUGAGGAGGAACACCACUGGCGAAGGCGGCCUUUCCGUCUAAGCCCUCUGAGAUUACAUA
rnacentral:rRNA from 1 species